AUAAAACAAUCGCGAAAUAUUAUUAUUUGGCAGCUCUGCUUUUAGUAUUUGUAAAAAUAUUUAUGUAAGUAUGUACAUGUGUCUACUUUAGCACAGAGUGAAAAUUGGAACAUGCAUAAAGUAAGGCAAGAAUACAAAUUGAUACCGUUUAAUAGCGUACCGUCAUCAUCGGCUUUUCUCCCACUCGUUUGCUGCUACAAGCAAUUUUGCUUUUAUUUUUAAACUACAUUUUUAGUCUAUUUUGAAUUUUGGUUGGAACAUAUUUUUGCUGAUAUUUUGCCUACACUCGUAAUACCUCUAAUAUACAAACAAGUUGAUUUUGUUGUUUUUUUUUCCAGAAAAUUGUUACCUGUGGUAAGGCCAGUGCUCGUACAAGGGUUUUUGUUAAUAGCUUAUGUUUGUAUAUACAUUUGUGGAUAUACUGAGGAAUAUUAAAAAGUUGGGGAAAUUAUUCGUUAACCUAUUACAUACUCGUACAUUAACACUUUACCAAUAUUAAUGCUUUAGCUUAAGGAACAGCAUGGCAGUUGAAACGUAGAUUUGCUCUUAGACUGCUGCACACAGCUGCCGAAGUCUCUAGUACGAAUGGCAUCGCCCACGAUCAGCAGCAGAUGCUUACUAUAGUCAUUAUGCGUGCCUGUUAAUAAUAAUCAUAUAGUACUAAAGUAUUAACAAACAACGUGUGUCUUAAAUUACCACACAAGUAUUCCCUGGAUAUUAUAAAUCGCUGCAAACACUUGUGGAAGACGUCUGCUGAAUGACUGGUGGCAAUUUAAUGAUUCUGAAGGCCUAGUACUUUUAUUUUUAAUCUAUUUUUUAAUAUUAUAUUACAUAUUACAAUUAAAAAAUUUUGUAGUCAUAAAUUUUUUUAUUAUUAAAUAUUACAUGAUAUUUGUACUUUGAUCGACUAAAAAAUAAAUUUAUGAAAUUAUAAGUAA